rnacentral:rRNA from 1 species
UUAAGCGACUAAGCGUACACGGUGGAUGCCCUGGCAGUCAGAGGCGAUGAAGGACGUGCUAAUCUGCGAAAAGCGUCGGUAAGGUGAUAUGAACCGUUAUAACCGGCGAUGUCCGAAUGGGGAAACCCAGUGCAAUUCGUUGCACUAUCGUUAACUGAAUACAUAGGUUAACGAGGCGAACCGGGGGAACUGAAACAUCUAAGUACCCCGAGGAAAAGAAAUCAACCGAGAUUCCCCCAGUAGCGGCGAGCGAACGGGGAGCAGCCCAGAGUCUGAAUCAGCUUGUGUGUUAGUGGAACGGUCUGGAAAGUCCGACGGUACAGGGUGAUAGUCCCGUACACCAAAAUGCACAGGUUGUGAACUCGAAGAGUAGGGCGGGACACGUGGUAUCCUGUCUGAAUAUGGGGGGACCAUCCUCCAAGGCUAAAUACUCCUGACUGACCGAUAGUGAACCAGUACCGUGAGGGAAAGGCGAAAAGAACCCCGGCGAGGGGAGUGAAAAAGAACCUGAAACCGUGUACGUACAAGCAGUGGGAGCACCUUCGGGUGUGACUGCGUACCUUUUGUAUAAUGGGUCAGCGACUUAUAUUCUGUAGCAAGGUUAACCGUAUAGGGGAGCCGCAGGGAAACCGAGUCUUAACUGGGCGUUAAGUUGCAGGGUAUAGACCCGAAACCCGGUGAUCUAGCCAUGGGCAGGUUGAAGGUUGGGUAACACUAACUGGAGGACCGAACCGACUAAUGUUGAAAAAUUAGCGGAUGACUUGUGGCUGGGGGUGAAAGGCCAAUCAAACCGGGAGAUAGCUGGUUCUCCCCGAAAGCUAUUUAGGUAGCGCCUCGUGAAUUCAUCUUCGGGGGUAGAGCACUGUUUCGGCUAGGGGGUCAUCCCGACUUACCAACCCGAUGCAAACUACGAAUACCGAAGAAUGUUAUCACGGGAGACACACGGCGGGUGCUAACGUCCGUCGUGAAGAGGGAAACAACCCAGACCGCCAGCUAAGGUCCCAAAGUCAUGGUUAAGUGGGAAACGAUGUGGGAAGGCACAGACAGCCAGGAUGUUGGCUUAGAAGCAGCCAUCAUUUAAAGAAAGCGUAAUAGCUCACUGGUCGAGUCGGCCUGCGCGGAAGAUGUAACGGGGCUAAACCAUGCACCGAAGCUGCGGCAGCGACACUAUGUGUUGUUGGGUAGGGGAGCGUUCUGUAAGCCUGCGAAGGUGACCUGUGAGGGUUGCUGGAGGUAUCAGAAGUGCGAAUGCUGACAUAAGUAACGAUAAAGCGGGUGAAAAGCCCGCUCGCCGGAAGACCAAGGGUUCCUGUCCAACGUUAAUCGGGGCAGGGUGAGUCGACCCCUAAGGCGAGGCCGAAAGGCGUAGUCGAUGGGAAACAGGUUAAUAUUCCUGUACUUGGUGUUACUGCGAAGGGGGGACGGAGAAGGCUAUGUUAGCCGGGCGACGGUUGUCCCGGUUUAAGCAUGUAGGCUGGUUGUCCAGGCAAAUCCGGAUAAUCAAGGCUGAGGUGUGAUGACGAGGCACUACGGUGCUGAAGUAACAAAUGCCCUGCUUCCAGGAAAAGCCUCUAAGCAUCAGGUAACAUCAAAUCGUACCCCAAACCGACACAGGUGGUCAGGUAGAGAAUACCAAGGCGCUUGAGAGAACUCGGGUGAAGGAACUAGGCAAAAUGGUGCCGUAACUUCGGGAGAAGGCACGCUGGUGUGUAGGUGAAGUCCCUGCGGAUGGAGCUGAGACCAGUCGAAGAUACCAGCUGGCUGCAACUGUUUAUUAAAAACACAGCACUGUGCAAACACGAAAGUGGACGUAUACGGUGUGACGCCUGCCCGGUGCCGGAAGGUUAAUUGAUGGGGUUAUCCGUAAGGAGAAGCUCUUGAUCGAAGCCCCGGUAAACGGCGGCCGUAACUAUAACGGUCCUAAGGUAGCGAAAUUCCUUGUCGGGUAAGUUCCGACCUGCACGAAUGGCGUAAUGAUGGCCAGGCUGUCUCCACCCGAGACUCAGUGAAAUUGAACUCGCUGUGAAGAUGCAGUGUACCCGCGGCAAGACGGAAAGACCCCGUGAACCUUUACUAUAGCUUGACACUGAACAUUGAGCCUUGAUGUGUAGGAUAGGUGGGAGGCUUUGAAGCGUGGACGCCAGUCUGCGUGGAGCCAACCUUGAAAUACCACCCUUUAAUGUUUGAUGUUCUAACGUUGGCCCCUGACCGGGGUUGCGGACAGUGUCUGGUGGGUAGUUUGACUGGGGCGGUCUCCUCCCAAAGCGUAACGGAGGAGCACGAAGGUUAGCUAAUCCUGGUCGGACAUCAGGAGGUUAGUGCAAUGGCAUAAGCUAGCUUGACUGCGAGCGUGACGGCGCGAGCAGGUGCGAAAGCAGGUCAUAGUGAUCCGGUGGUUCUGAAUGGAAGGGCCAUCGCUCAACGGAUAAAAGGUACUCCGGGGAUAACAGGCUGAUACCGCCCAAGAGUUCAUAUCGACGGCGGUGUUUGGCACCUCGAUGUCGGCUCAUCACAUCCUGGGGCUGAAGUAGGUCCCAAGGGUAUGGCUGUUCGCCAUUUAAAGUGGUACGCGAGCUGGGUUUAGAACGUCGUGAGACAGUUCGGUCCCUAUCUGCCGUGGGCGCUGGAGAAUUGAGGGGGGCUGCUCCUAGUACGAGAGGACCGGAGUGGACGCAUCACUGGUGUUCGGGUUGUCAUGCCAAUGGCACUGCCCGGUAGCUAAAUGCGGAAGAGAUAAGUGCUGAAAGCAUCUAAGCACGAAACUUGCCCCGAGAUGAGUUCUCCCUGAGACUUUAAGUCUCCUGAAGGAACGUUGAAGACGACGACGUUGAUAGGCCGGGUGUGUAAGCGCAGCGAUGCGUUGAGCUAACCGGUACUAAUGAACCGUGAGGCUUAACCU